rnacentral:ncRNA from 1 species
UUCUUAUCAAGAGAGGCAGAGGGACUGGCCCGAUGAAGCCUCAGCAACCGGUGUAAUGAUUGUUUCAUGACCAAGGUGCUAAAUCCAGCAAGCAGACUGCUUGGAAGAUAAGAA